UCAUCCCCACCACUGCGUCGCUCUCGAUUCACCCCCAUUCCUGUGCCGCGCACCUCCAGCGCCACCACCCAAAGCAUCGCCAAGACCUCGUAUAGGGAACCUACAGCCUAGCCAUUAUACCUCACUAUACUUCUUUCCAAUCGUUCCUGUAUCUUCAAGUAUCAGUUAUAAUAGUAGAUUUAAUAAGAACUAUUGGAAUUAUGUAUCGAAUACAUAGAUUCUUUUAGUUGCGGGAUUUCGUUACUAGUCUGUCUCUUUGUUACCAGUUAAGACAUCGUACAAGGGCGUCUAGGCGAUUGCCACCAAGGUAUCACGCUUGUUUCCACAAAUUACUAUAUCUACAAAUAACAGUUUUAGUACGUAGAUUUGCGCUAACGAUGAUCAGAGUCGAACAUUAGAAUUCUUAGAUUAUUUAAUUAUAGAGUUCUGUAGCAGUCAAAGGCCUGUGCCAAAGCUUGCAUUUAGGAGCAAUUAGUAGGAAAUCUCGUAAAUAAUUAAAUCCACGCUUUCACAUUCUAUUUAUCCCGAUUGUUACAUGGCACGCAGUAAGCGUUUUUACGGAGUAAAUAACACAUCGAUUCGACUCUGAUGCAAUCCCUACACCCUUACGACUCCGCCUAUGUAUUACAGAUUAUGCUAUCGACCAUGAGCUUAAGGUUCAUAUAUUACUUAUUUUUCGCCGCAAAAAUUUCAGCAUAUUUAAAGCCGUCGAAAAUCCUGUCAACCAUGGUUGUACAAAUUUUCCUACGGCCAAAUUGCUGGAAAACUCGCAAGGGUGAGGAAGGAGCGUGGCCGUCGCUUCGCGGAUCCCCGCAACCCCUCCGCCGCGACCAACCACCACUCCCCGUGGCACCGUUCGAACCCCUAGCCUAGAGAUGCCCGUUUCUACCUCCAAACACCACGGCGCACGCUCCGACGUCGCCUCAGUGACUCUCAACUACCUUUCACCAUGUCUGCGAUAUUCUCUUCCGUCUGCACGUCGCUCCCUGGGGAAAUUUUUCGGCGAGAAGUGUGCCGUGACAGAGGGUUAAUUGGGCAAGACCAAGAAAUACUGGCCUCGCCGAGUCGAUCGUGCUUCCGUGGCGCUGCGAACGGGAUUACCGUGUCGCGAUCUAUGAUAGACGAUGGUUUAAUGGCUCUGGGGACGCUUCUUCGUGAACUGGGACAAUCCUAGGUGAAUUAAGAAUUUAGUGUUUUACGGUGGAAUCGAAGAAGGAGGAUUGUUAGAGUACAUUCUAGAAUUUUACAUUUGGCAUGGUGUUGCUGUUUGUGAAUGAUAAUAUCGGGGCUUUGAUGUAUAGGCGAAGAGGAUUGAUGUAUAGGAUUUUACUUUUUUAUGCAGUGCAUUGUUGUUCGUAAGAGAAAUGUAAGGGAAGUGGGACGAUAUCGGAUGAGUUAAGAAUUUACUGUUUAGUGUCUGAGACGGUGGAGUUAUUUAUUAUAUAUGUAUUAUUAAUAAAAGUAUCGUUGGUAUUUUGUACAUUAAAGAAUAAGAAAGAAGAUUCUAUCAUAGGGAUUGAUGUUUGUUAAAGGAAAUUCGAUUCGAUCCAGCAGACAAUACAGCAGGCUCCUCAGUUUCCGCAAGUGGGACAGCUAUUAUUUGCAAUAUCUAUCUUACUUUUUACAAAAAAAGACAUUGCUUUUUAUACGGCGAAGAAGGAAAGUCGUUUGUCAAAGAAAAUCCAAUUUAAUCCAAACGGCAGAACAGAAGGAUCUUAAAUUUUCCAAAAGUGGAUCUGCUUACAAUUUACAUUUUAGUUUCUACAAGAAACUUCGUUUUAUAUCAUUUAACUUAUAAAUAGAAGAAUAAAUAUACAUAAAGGAAAAAAGAAAAAGAACGAGAUCGGUGUUCAUCACAGAAAAUCUGCUCCACGAGCGAUCCACGAAACAGUAGAGAAGGUUCCUAAAUUUCCGGAAGUAGGACACCUACAUAUAUUUCUAACCUCCAUUCUAUUCUUUCCUCUUUCAACGAAUAUUGCUUAUUUAUAAAUCGUAGAAUAAACGGCGAAGGAAAGGAUUCGAUAAAGAAAAUCCGAUUAGUAUCAAGAGACUAGUAAAGAAGGUUCGUAAAAUUUUUAGACGACAAAAGGAAAGACUGAGCAAGAAUGAGAACCACUGAAACGCGAUCCGUGCUACUGGGCUACGCGCCACACGGCGCUUUGGCCGACCGACCGACUCUACUCGCACACGAUCCUCCUUCUCCCUCCACCGUUAUCCGGCUCGCACUCUCUGUCUCUCUUUGUCUCUCUCAUUUUCUACGUUUCUCUACGCUGUACCGGUUCCCUGCCUCGCUACGCCAUGCAAAUCUUCCGUCUUGCACGUUAUGAGGAACGAGCCCUGUCUCUUCUUCCGAGUUUAACCGGAGACCACGUCGCGAUCCAAGGGAUCCCGUUUCCUGUUCGUUCUUCGGGAUGAUCGAGCGGCCUGCAUUAUUCCACGCCUUGCAUUACGGCCACGAGCUUCUAAUCAUCAGUUUACAACCACCAUUUCCACCAUGAAAUUUAGAAUCGGAAAAUCGUCGAAAAUUUGAAAGGAAAAGCGAUCCUGAAAUAUUUUAGCGAGAAAGUUAGGGACAAAUAACACUGAAUAUUUUAGAAAUUUGGAAGAGGAAGCCAGGCAGAUAAGAUUGAUAAUUCAUUAGAAUUUGAAUAAAAAUGCCAGACAAAUAAGGAAGGAAAAUGAGGAAGCUAGAAAAGUAAAAUAAAGUUGGGAAUCCUCGAGAAUUUGGGAGAAAAAGAUACUCAUAUAACAUUGAAAAUCGUGUGAAAUGUCGGAAGAAAGUUAGAGAAAUAAAAUCGAAGGUAUUUGAAAAUUUAUAAAAACGUGACAAACAAAAUUUGAUAGAAAGCAUAUCAUAAAUUGAUCGUGCUUCGUGCCAAAAGAAAAAAGAAUAAUUCCUGAGAAGCUUUGAACAAGAGUGAAUUCUUUGUUAGGAUGAUUUGAUACAAGUGGAAAUUUUCCAAAGCAAUUUGCGAACAUCCUCUCUGUAUUGCCUUCUAUUGCUCCUGUUUUCAUUAGCCUGGUCAGCAGAAGGUUUGUAAAGAUAUCGUUGAAAGAGAAGGAAUAAAGGUAGAGACGAGACACAGGGGCUGCAGACAGAUAACCACUCGACGACUCGAAUGCAACGGGGAAUGAACGACGGGGGAAAAAAGGAGAGAACAAGCGUCGUAAGCCUUUCGAUAGCUACGACUCGUCGUCCAUAGUCACAGAUCGAUACUUCAAACUGGUCUUGCAUUUGCAGAUGAAGAAUAAGAGAAACUGUUGUUCCACUUUGUUACCAUUUUACUUGUCACUUUUGUAAACUAAGAUCACGGUACGAUGUCUACGGGUUCAACAGAGCACCGGCAAGGCAAACUCCGAAGCUAUCCGAAAAUUACCAUGCAACCAGCAAAUUGACUCCAAGGGGCCACAUCUUUAACGAGUUACCGGAAAUUAAAAUUCCAAAUUCAACUGCUCUCGAAAAACUAUUCGAAUCUCUAUGUUACGCUGCUUAAAAUUCGCCACACUGUGUGACAUUGUAGAAUGUAUUGUAUAAUAUGAUGAUUAUACUUUUAUGAGGCUCGUCUUGCGCGUAAUAUGAUUUAUUCUCUUAUGGUAGGUACGUUAGAUGAAAAUAAACAAAUUACGUGUUAACACUAAA